AUUGAACGCUGGCGGCAGGCUUAACACAUGCAAGUCGAGCGGAGCGAGGGUGCUUGCACCUUAGCUUAGCGGCGGACGGGUGAGUAAUGCUUAGGAAUCUGCCUGUUAGUGGGGGACAACAUUCCGAAAGGAAUGCUAAUACCGCAUACGCCCUACGGGGGAAAGCAGGGGAUCUUCGGACCUUGCGCUAAUAGAUGAGCCUAAGUCGGAUUAGCUAGUUGGUGGGGUAAAGGCCUACCAAGGCGACGAUCUGUAGCGGGUCUGAGAGGAUGAUCCGCCACACUGGGACUGAGACACGGCCCAGACUCCUACGGGAGGCAGCAGUGGGGAAUAUUGGACAAUGGGCGGAAGCCUGAUCCAGCCAUGCCGCGUGUUUGAAGAAGGCCUUUUGGUUGUAAAGCACUUUAAGCGAGGAGGAGGCUACUUAGAUUAAUACUCUGGGAUAGUGGACGUUACUCGCAGAAUAAGCACCGGCUAACUCUGUGCCAGCAGCCGCGGUAC
rnacentral:rRNA from 1 species